rnacentral:rRNA from 1 species
CCAGCAGCCGCGGUAAUUCCAGCUCCAAUAGCGUAUAUUUAAGUUGUUGCAGUUAAAAAGCUCGUAGUUGGAUUUCGGAUGGGACUUGCCGGUCCGUCGUUGCGAUGUGCACUGGCCAGUCCUAUCUUGUUGUCGGGGACUAGCUCCUGGCCUUAACUGUCCGGGACUAGGAGCUGACGAGGUUACUUUGAGUAAAUUAGAGUGUUCAAAGCAAGCCUACGCUCUGAAUACAUUAGCAUGGAAUAACACGAUAGGACUCUGGCUUAUCUUGUUGGUCUGUGAGACCAGAGUAAUGAUUAAGAGGGACAGUCGGGGACAUUCGUAUUGCAUUGUCAGAGGUGAAA